UUGACCUCAAAUCGGGUGAGACUACCCGCUGAACUUAAGCAUAUCAAUAAGCGGAGGAAAAGAAACUAACAAGGAUUCCCCUAGUAACUGCGAGUGAAGCGGGAAAAGCUCAAAUUUAAAAUCUGGUGGUCUUUGGCCAUCCGAGUUGUAAUUUAGAGAAGCGUCU
rnacentral:rRNA from 1 species